GUGAAAUAUCUAUUUAAACCUGGACAGCCUGAAAAUGGGUAAAAGAGAGUAAUAUAGUGAGUGUGGACUGUGUGGAAAUGAAGUAGACUGUGUAGCCCGUACCAGUGAUGUUUUUUAAGGCUUGAUUGGCGUAUUACUUGGUAAAUGAAGUGUAGUGAUAUACCAUGAGAGUAUAAAUGUGUUACCAAGGCAAAGUGAUGCCGUGUCUUUAAUGCACAGUUCUGUAUAAAACAGUGGGAAAUGUAUGAUGGUGUCAAGUAGAAAAG
rnacentral:lncRNA from 1 species